UUCCAGCAGAACAUCAUUCAGAUCUAAAGCAUAAAGCUCUGAAUUUCAGCUGCAUGAAGAAGAGCAAUAGACAAUAAAUCAGUCACAGGACAUCAAUCAAAAGUCAGAGGUCACAGUGGUUGAAACACAUUCCUCCUCCAUCGACGCGAUGGUUUUUGUCUUUCACUGUGAGUAUGAUGGUGAUCAGUGGGCCGUCCCGUCCCUGACUAUGACUGUCUCUUCUUCAGUGAUAGUGAUUUCUGCUGCUGCUGCGUCUGCUGUUUUCCUGGCUGCUGUUCUCUGGCUGAUCUGCAGAAAAAGAGCUGGUAAUAAAAGAGAGACUGAUGAAUCGGUGGUCAAAGAUGAGAAUGAAGUUAAAGUGA